CCCGGGGUGAGGGGACCCGAAGUCCUGAGGCGCGCCGGAAGGGCUAGCGGUCCCAGCAUACCCCGCGGCCCCUUGGGCCGUCUCACAACUCGCGUCCGGCGGAGACCACAAUUCCCGGCAUUCGUGGGGCGGGGAGGAGUCGGCCUCCCGGAAUCCUGGUCCCGGCGUGCACUUCUGAAGGACUUCAGUACAACUUCAUCGCAGAUGUGGUGGAGAAGACAGCACCUGCCGUGGUCUAUAUCGAGAUCCUGGACCGGCACCCUUUCUUGGGCCGCGAGGUCCCUAUCUCGAACGGCUCAGGAUUCGUGGUGGCUGCCGAUGGGCUCAUUGUCACCAACGCCCAUGUGGUGGCUGAUCGGCGCAGAGUCCGUGUGAGACUGCUAAGCGGCGACACGUAUGAGGCCGUGGUCACAGCUGUGGAUCCCGUGGCAGACAUCGCAACGCUGAGGAUUCAGACUAAGGAGCCUCUCCCCACGCUGCCUCUGGGACGCUCAGCUGAUGUCCGGCAAGGGGAGUUUGUUGUUGCCAUGGGAAGUCCCUUUGCACUGCAGAACACGAUCACAUCCGGCAUUGUUAGCUCUGCUCAGCGUCCAGCCAGAGACCUGGGACUCCCCCAAACCAAUGUGGAAUACAUUCAAACUGAUGCAGCUAUUGAUUUUGGAAACUCUGGAGGUCCCCUGGUUAACCUGGAUGGGGAGGUGAUUGGAGUGAACACCAUGAAGGUCACAGCUGGAAUCUCCUUUGCCAUCCCUUCUGAUCGUCUUCGAGAGUUUCUGCAUCGUGGGGAAAAGAAGAAUUCCUCCUCCGGAAUCAGUGGGUCCCAGCGGCGCUACAUUGGGGUGAUGAUGCUGACCCUGAGUCCCAGCAUCCUUGCUGAACUACAGCUUCGAGAACCAAGCUUUCCCGAUGUUCAGCAUGGUGUACUCAUCCAUAAAGUCAUCCUGGGCUCCCCUGCACACCGGGCUGGUCUGCGGCCUGGUGAUGUGAUUUUGGCCAUUGGGGAGCAGAUGGUACAAAAUGCUGAAGAUGUUUAUGAAGCUGUUCGAACCCAAUCCCAGCUGGCAGUGCAGAUCCGGCGGGGACGAGAAACACUGACCUUAUAUGUGACCCCUGAGGUCACAGAAUGAAUAGAUCACCAAGACUAUGAGGCUCCUGCUCUGAUUUCCUCCUUGCCUUCCUGGCUGAGGCUCUGAGGGCACCGAGACAGAGGGUUAAAUGAACCAGUGGGGGCAGGUCCCUCCAACCACCAGCACUGACUCCUGGGCUCUGAAGAAUCACAGAAACACUUUUUAUA
rnacentral:sRNA from 1 species